UUUUCCCCCCAGAUGGAUCGGUAGCAUAUCUCCAGAUGACAUCUCAGAUUGCUUCCUAAAACAAUGCUAAUCAUCUAAUACUUCUAGCCUGACACUAAUCUUUUCUUUCCUCAGUCUUAUUUUCUUCAGACAACUGAAUGUGGAACCAGCUCUACAAUCUGAGGUGUUCGUUAGACUUGGAUGGUGCUUUGCAGGGAGGACUCAUGGACUAUCUCAAAUCAUAGAAUAUCCUGAGUUGGAAGGGACCCACAAGGAUCAUCGAGUCCAGCUCCUAAAGAGAAAGGGUAAGGUGAAUGGUAAGGAAGAGGUGUGCACUGGACAUGGGAGAAAGUGUUGUUCCAAUAUAGGGCUGUGGAGGAGGGAUCACCCACUCCUGGGUCUCAGAUGUUACCGUGGAACCUGGAUGUUGGGUUGGGAGUGUGAGCUGCAGCAGGUCUGUGCUGGCCCUGUGAGCACACAGCUUUUGGGACCAGGACUGCUGGUUGCCCUGUUUCUCAAGGAGUGUGGGCUCCAGCCAAGCCCAUGAAGAUUACAGGCCUAAAGCCCAUGUCAUCCGAGGACACAAGAAUUAGCACAAGGUGAUCUGAAGGAUUCAGUUCCUCCUAGCGGACAGAUCCUCCCUGCCUGCACAUCAGGCUGUCCUGCUAGGACUUGCAGCAGAAAGAUUGAGCCUCAAAAACCUCAUGGUUUUACCCACUGUUUUCUAGGGGAUGCUGGGGAAACAC